AACGAACGCUGGCGGCAUGCCUAACACAUGCAAGUCGAACGAGACCUUCGGGUCUAGUGGCGCACGGGUGCGUCACGCGUGGGAACCUGCCCUUAGGUUCCGAAUACCUCCCCGAAAGGGGUGCUAAUACCGGAUAAUGUCUUCGGACCAAAGAUUUAUCGCCUUUGGGUGGGCCCGCGUUGGAUUAGCUAGUUGGUAGGGUAAAAGCCUACCAAGGCGGCGAUCCAUAGCUGGUCUGAGAGGAAGAUCAGCCACACUCGGACUAGGACGCGGUCCAGAAUACUACGGAAGGGGGGCAAGGGUGAUCAUGGAAAAAGGGGGGAAUGAUGAAGCCACAAGGGCGGGGAAGUGGUGAAGGGCGGAGGGAUGGGAAGCUGCUUUACCCGGGAUGAUAAUGACAGUACCGGGAGAAUAAGCACCGGCUAACUCCGUG
rnacentral:rRNA from 1 species